GGGCAUUUUGUUCACUGUAACUAAAAAGUAAUUAGUAGUAAGUAAAUUUGUACGAAGUGUUUUAUUUGCUGACCCACUGCUGCUGUAACAAAAUAAUUUCCCAGUCUGGGAUCAUUAAAGUAAUUCUAUCUAUCUAUCUAUCUAUCUAUCUAUCUAAUUUAUUACUCUAUGAUUACAGUACAUUGUUAUAACAUAUUACAUUAAAAUCAAGGUAACUAGUAGUAUCUAAUAUAUUGCAUUUCAAAAAUAAUGUUAACGUUGAAGACAUUAUGAGAUGGUAAGUAAGAUGUUUUUAUUUUGAGGGGGUCUUUUGUAUUUCUGAUAGUAUAUCGGAGUAUCUAGGUUGUACACAGUCAAAGAAAUUGUCUACAAAAAGUCAUUGUAUUUACUUUAAUAUCUGUAUUUUGCAAUAAAAUUCACAUAGGGUCAGAAUUUGGUGCAACACCGGAACCAACGUUUUUGUUCCCUGUUUGCACCCGGUUGUUUUCCGACUUCCUGAUGUCUUCGUGUACGAAGACGCCACCUCUAGUUGUGGCUGCAGUCAAGCUCCCUACAAAAUGAACUAUCGUCGGAUAAAAGGACUUUCACAAGUUUCAUCGGUGACCAACAUGAUGUCUGGGAAGGCGUUUGUCAAAAUGAGAUGGCUGAUACUGCAGCAGGAUGAUGGAAGCCUGCUGGAGAGUGCCAGAGCUUCACCCUCUGCGUUUGGAAGCUCUAUGAGGGAGGAACCAGUCUUUGUUGUAAACAGUUCCUCGAUGUGGUGAAUGAGAUCAUAGGCUUCUUGGGAGGGGUGGCAACUUGACUUCUCUUGGUUUUUGCAUUGUUUUUCCUGAUCUGUGUUCUCUUUAAAAAAAAUCGUAAACUUCCCAGUGGUGUGGUAUUUGAAAGUGCAAAUGUAUUGUUUGAAUAUGAUUACCUCACAUAUUUUUUUGUUAUCAAAAUUUUGUAGGUGGUUAAAUUGCUCCUUCCGAAUUUAGAAUAGAAUAGAAUAGAACAGAAUUACUUUAUCGAUCCCGAUUUAGCCACCCAUGUUUUUCUAUACAUGCACACGCCUUUCUCCCAGCGAUCAGAGCAUCCCCAUGCAGCACAGCACACCUGGUGAAGACUGUAUUCAAGUACAACACAGCAGAAAGGACACAAACAGCUUGACGUGCUUAUCUGUUUGACUAAUUCAGAUACUGUUUUUAAGGAAUUCAUUGUGGUAUUAAAUGCAUUGGGAAAAUCAAGACUGUGUGAUUUAUAAUGCAUCAAUGAGUAGAGUAAGUUUGGAAUAAGUAAGAAUAGUUAACAAAUAGUGCUAGAAUUCCAUUUAUUUGCAAUGAAUUCAAAUAAAAAUUUUAAUUAUUUGCCAUGGAUUUCCUAGUAGAACACAGAUAUCAUCAUAAUGCUGCUGUGAGUCCAGACUUGUCAGUCACCUGUUAGCCUCAGAGUGACCGCGAGCGCUCAGAGAGUGACCGCAAGCACGCAGAGAGAGUGACCGCAAGCACGCAGAGAGAGAGUGACCACGAGCGCUCAGAGAGUAGUCAUUAUGCGUGCUGAUUAUGGUUUUAUGCACGCAGAUAUUGGCACUGAAAUGACUCCAUAUUAAUGUCCUACUCUGAUGCAUGCGUCAGUUUGAGAGGCUGAAAUAAAUGGGACAGUCCUCUGCCUUUAGUUGCAACAGCCUUUGAAGUGGACCGUGGUUUGUUCGAGGUCCGACGCCACAAAACCAAACUACUAACGAGACAGUGUCUUUUUAGGUAACGUUACGGUCUCUUUGCUUGCUGCAUGUUGUUUUUGUUUCUCUGUGGAAAGUCAAUGCGGGGGAGGGCGGAGCCCACUAUGAACUACGGGAGCCUGUGGGGAGCGGUGGCAGAGCAAGUUAAAGAGAAAAUCGAUUUUAUUUUUUAAAAUCAUCCUAAACCAAAAAACUUGAAUUAAUCGAUUUUGCCGAUUUAUCGCCCAGCCCUAAGCAUUAUGAAGCGAGAACCAGUGGGAUAUCCCUAAACCUCUGUUGACCCAGGUUAAUUUAUGAUCACUCUUUUUUAUGCAUUUCUCUCCAAGUCAAAUUCCUGUGUACUCUGUACAUUUGGCAAAUAAAAGAGCUGGUCAUACUAUCGACGAGUGACACCGCCUGAGACGCCGCCUGUGACGCACAUCGGGACUUCCGUGAG
ensembl:lncRNA